rnacentral:rRNA from 1 species
UACAGAGGGGGCAAGCGUUGUUCGGAAUUAUUGGGCGUAAAGGGUGCGUAGGCGGUGCGGUAAGUCUUCUGUGGAAUCUCCGGGCUCAACUCGGAGCCUGCAGGAGAAACUGCCGUGCUUGAGUAUGGGAGAGGUGAGUGGAAUUCCUGGUGUAGCGGUGAAAUGCGUAGAUAUCAGGAGGAACACCUGUGGCGAAAGCGGCUCACUGGACCAUAACUGACGCUGAGGCACGAAAGCUAGGGGAGCAAACAGG